rnacentral:rRNA from 1 species
UACAGAGGGGGCAAGCGUUAUUCGGAAUUAUUGGGCGUAAAGGGCUCGUAGGCGGCCAACUAAGUCGGAUGUGAAAUCCCCCAGGCUCAACCUGGGAACUGCAUCCGAUACUGGAUGGCUUGAAUUCGGGAGAGGGAUGCAGAAUUCCAGGUGUAGCGGUGAAAUGCGUAGAUAUCUGGAGGAAUACCGGUGGCGAAGGCGGCAUCCUGGACCGACAUUGACGCUGAUGAGCGAAAGCUAGGGGAGCAAACGGG